CUUGGAGUCGGAUCUCGGGCGGAGGCCGCAGUAUUGGGGCGGGCGGCGAGCGGGCGGCAGCGGGCCGACGUCUGGGCCGCGCGGCACAGGGACGGAAGGGGCGGCCGGUCGAGUCGGGGGUGGUUCCGAGGCGGCGGACCCGGGAGUCUCCGGCUCCUGAGGGGCGGCUCGGGCCCCUUUCUGGCCCGGGCUGGUCCGCGGGGCCGCGGGAGCAGGGCGGGCUGCGCGCCGGGUCCGGCCCUGCCCUGCGACCGCCGUCGGCGUUCUGGGGCCUCAGGGCGGCGCGCCCGCCCAAGGGCCGCGGGUCCGGCCGCCAUGUGUACACCUUCAAGCGCCUGUAGUCUUUGAAGCGCUUUGACAUCUCCGAAGGCUUUGUAUUGCAAACUAAAUCAAAGCGCCGAGUAGCCCCGGAAGCGCUUUGACGUCUCCGAAGUCGCGUUGUGCAAACUGAAGCGUCUGGUGAUCGCGGAAACACGUUGUGGGCUUGGAAGCCGAACCGAAGCCGGCAGUAAACCUUGCAGUGGUCCGACUCCUCCGAAGCGCUUUGGCAUCUCCGGAACCGAGAGAACUGUGAUGGGCAGUGGAAAGAAGGGGGAAAGGUGCCCAUGGCGUCGGAGCGGCGCAAGGUCAAGUACCACUGGAGCAGCCCUUCGGAAAGGCGUCCCCGCAAGCGCAGCUGCCUCCGGGAGGCCGGUGAUGUGGCCCCCUCCAGACGGCCGGCUCCCAGCUCUGCGUCGCGUGCCGGCGGGGCCCGCAGCCCCAAGCGCCUGAAAGCCCAGAAGGGAGACGAUGUGGCCUGCCCGCCCGAGGUGUCCUGGGACGCCACCCGCCGCCGAGACUCCUCCUCCUCCUCUGCCUCCUCCCGGUCCUCCGGCCCAGGUGUGGACGGGGCUGCCGCCAAAGGCUGCCUGAUUCGGAGCACGCGGGCCUUCCUUCCGCCGGGGGGCUCCCCUCCGCGCCCUGCCAGCCCCUCUCUAGAGGAAAUGGCUUCUCCAGAGGAGGAAACCUGUAGCCUUAAGGUUAAUUCCAAAGAUAGUUCUCGUAAUUCCACGAACUCUGAGUUUGCAGCUGAAGCUGAGGGUCAAAAUGAUAAAAUUGAGGAACCAAGCAAGGUUCAGAAAAAGAAGAGGGAUAGACUUCGAGACCAAGGCUCUACAAUGAUCUACCUGAAGGCUAUCCAGGGCAUUCUGGGAAAGUCAAUGCCAAAAAGGAAGGGCGAGACUGCCACUACGGCAAAACCAAACACAGGAGAUCGUCCCAACCGUGGAGAAGGACCAGCCAGGAGUGUCACUGUGUCUACUCCUCAGAAAGAGAAGGAGGCAACCCCAGAGGUCAGAGUGAAAGAGGAAAAAAAGGCUGUGCUGGAGAGAAGCAGCUUCUGUGACAGGAGAGUGGUGAUAGACCCUCAGGAGAAACCCAGUGAGGAGCCACUUGGUGACCGAAGGACAGUUAUUGACAAGCGCUCUCCACCCCUAGAAUUUUUGGAUGAUUCUGACUCUCAUUCAGAAAGCCACAAGCCUAAAGAAAGGGAGGUGGUGAUAGAGCACACCUCUUCAGGAAGUGACUGGUCCGAUGUGGAUGAGGUCUCCACAGUCAGAUUCUCUCAGGAGGAGCCCAUCUCACUGAAGCUCUCAGCAGUUCCAGAGCCUUCUGCCUUCCCCACUGACUAUGUCAUGUACCCGGCUCACUUGUACAGUAGUCCUUGGUGUGAUUUUGCCAGCUAUUGGGCCAACCGUCGCAAGCCUUCUAGCUACCCCUCCAUGAGCAGCAGCAGCAGUGACACAUUGCAGGCUGGGAAGAGCAGCCGGGGCCUCCUGAGUGAUUAUUCCCCCAACUCUACAGUGAGCUCCCAAAACACCUCUAGAGAUUUGGAGGCGACAGAGGAAGGCAGAUCCCAGAAUUCUCGCUCAUAUAAUUUCUCCAGAAGCUUACAAGACAAGGUGAAGGAGAAAAGAACAUUCCAGGAGGAGACGCCACCCCGUUCUUAUGAAGGACAUGCAUCUAGCUCUCUGCCAAGGAGCCAUCUAGAGCCAAACCUAGAGGAGGGUUUCAUUGAUACCCAUUGUCACUUGGACAUGCUCUAUUCCAAGUUGUCUUUCAAAGGGACCUUUAGCAAGUUCAGGAGAAUUUAUAGCACCUCCUUCCCUAAGGAAUUUCAGGGCUGCAUCUCUGACUUCUGUGAUCCCAGGACACUGACAGAUUCCCUAUGGGAGGAUUUGUUGAAAGAGGAUCUGGUUUGGGGGGCCUUUGGCUGUCACCCUCAUUUUGCUCGUUACUACACUGAGAGUCAAGAAAGAAAUCUUUUGCAAGCCUUAAGGCAUCCCAAGGCCGUGGCAUUUGGGGAAAUGGGCUUGGAUUACUCUUACAAAUGCACCACACCUGUCCCAGAACAGCACAAGGUAUUUGAGAGACAGCUGCGGCUGGCCGUGUCUCUAAAGAAGCCCUUGGUGAUUCACUGCCGAGAAGCUGAUGAAGAUCUGCUGAGCAUCAUGAAAAAAUUUGUGCCCUCAGACUACAAGAUCCAUAGGCAUUGCUUCACUGGCAGCUACCCGGUCAUCGAGCCCCUGCUGAAGCACUUCCCAAACAUGUCUGUGGGCUUCACGGCAGUCCUGACGUACUCCUCUGCCUGGGAGGCCCGGGAAGCUCUGAAACAGAUCCCGCUGGAGAGAAUCAUCGUGGAAACUGAUGCCCCCUACUUCCUGCCUCGACAGGUUCCCAAAAGUCUUUGCCAGUAUGCCCACCCGGGCCUGGCCUUGCAUACAGUUCGAGAGAUUGCCAGGGUCAAAGAUCAACCGCUGUCCCGCACCUUGGCUACCUUGCGUGAGAACACCAGUCGCCUCUACAAUCUUUAAGCAGAGAGAGUGCAGGAGUUUUCUAUAAAAGGACGACCAGUGACCUAACAGCAUAGGCUGGGUUUCAUCUCUGCCUGGGUCCAGGACAAGGAGAAAACCAAGAUAGGAAACAGGAUAUUUUCCUUGAAACUUCAUCAUCAGGCUUUUGAUCUUGGCUAUGGGUAGGGGGGUUCAGUGGAGGGGGGGGCGUGGGGAGCAGGAAGGGGGGUUGCCUCCUGGUCACAUGCUCCAGGGCAGUCAGGGAGGAAGAAAUACUAGUAGAAGGGUGCAACAAGUUUGCCAAUCCAAAUCUCUGUUCUCUGCAGCCUGUGUUUUUGAGCAGUCUGCGAAUAAAGUCACCCUCCUACUAGUCUAAGCCCAUGUUGGUGUGUAACUUGGUUCCUGGUCCUCAGUUCUGAGAAUGAGCUCCCAGUGAGAAACCUAUGGGGGAUCUUUGCUGGAGACCGGUGAAGUCACCCCCCUGCAACCAAAGGAGUCAUCCCCUUCUCUUCCAUGGAUAACUCUUCAGUGUGGCUGUCGCUGUGUCAACUCUGCAUCGGCACAGGUGGAAGGACUCGACUACUGGUUUCACUGGUUCCAUUGCCAUCAAUACAGAGGGGGCAGAAAGGCACGCAUUGUCCAGGGAAAGUCCUGGCUGAUGGAGAUCUGGACAGAAUGGGGGAACUCAAGGAAGAGGCCUUCUUGAGGAAGAGGACCCCAAAGAAGGUGUUUCUACUUACUGAUGCCCCAGGGCUGCAACUCGGCUGUGUUAAACUGAUCAAGGUCCAGCCUGUAGCAGAAGCUACUUGCUAGUCUGCUGGUGAGGUCCCAGCCGCCCUUCGUUCCAUUUUGCCCUCUUUCCCUGGAACACUGGACCAGAAAUACUCAUACUUUUUCAUUGCAUAUGACAGCCUCUUGUGUGUCCCUCCCAGGUUAAGAGCAAGCCAUCAUAGAGGCAGCGUGCACUCGGAGCAGCAAGAGUGGCACCACCAAACUCCCUCCCCAGGACCGACACCCAGCAUCUCAGCACCAGGCACCAGAGCUUCGAGCUGUGUCUGGGUUUUGCUGCAGAAAAACAAACGAAGGAUGAGAAACAGAAGAAUGGGGACCCACACUUACCUGUGCACACAGCCUCCUGAGUUUUAACUAUUCCUGGGAAAGUCAUCUUGUUGGAGCGCUUCCUUGCCGCUGUUUGGUCAGUUGGUCCAGGAAUUGGCAGGUGGGGAGCUGGGCCCCGCCAGUCUUGUCACUGCUCGUUCUGCUGGCCCUCUGUGACGGAAGCAGACACGGAACCCUGGCCCUUGUUGACGUCACUGAUGCACACCCACUGCCCGUCGACUGACUCCUUCCACAGGGUCACCUGCAAGCCAGCACACACACAGGCAGGUGCAGUUCUUCCGGAGGGAGGAGAGCACUAGGAUGACAUCCAUCCAGCACCACAGAGGGGCUUCCAACAACCAGCACUCAGAUCUUCGCAGACCUAGUUCCUACCUGCAGAAUCCAGCUAGUCCCAGGGAACAGUCUGACCAGGGAACUUGCUGCUGGUAAGGUGCUCCGUCCUUCCAAGGAAGCUGAGGAGGAGGCCCGCCCUCACUUCACCUGGCAACUAGCACCACUCCCGGCAGCGCUCACCCACCCAGGAGCUGCCCACACCAAGGCCUCCAUCUCGGAGCUGCAUCUACCCGGCCACUAUCCUGCACGAUGGCCCUUCUCCUGCACGACGACGCGGAGCCAGUGAUGGAGGAUAAGAUCAAUGCCCUCAUCAAAGCAGCUGGAGUAAACGUUGAACCUUUCUGGCCAGGCUUGUUUGCAAAGGCUCUGGCCAAUGUCAACACUGGGAAUCUCAUCUGCAAUGAGGGGCAGAUGGACCUGCCCCAGCAGAAGAUCCUGCCCCCUCCACCACUGCUGCCCCAGCUGAGGAGGAGAAAGUGGAAGCAAAGAAAGAAGAAUCCAGAGUCUGAUGAUGUCACGGGCUCUGGUCUUUUGACUAAAUUUCUUUUGUAACACAUUCAAUAAAAAACUAAACUUUGA